AAUGUGGAAAUUUCUGGUAUGUUACUGGUACUCUGUUAACAAAACUGACGUACUAGCCGCUUGCUGUUUCUAUUUUUUGAUGUUUUUCUUUUCAGUAGUCUCCCCAAAAGUUUUUGUGGACACGUUGUGUAUCUUUUCUGUUCUUCCAGAAUUCAUUUGUCAGGAAAGACAACCAUGAAAUCCAAGGGCUGUGGACAAUCAUCUACCGGAGGGU